AAUUGAAGAGUUUGAUCAUGGCUCAGAUUGAACGCUGGCGGCAGGCCUAACACAUGCAAGUCGAACGGUAACAGGAAGCAGCUUGCUGCUUUGCUGACGAGUGGCGGACGGGUGAGUAAUGUCUGGGAAACUGCCCGAUGGAGGGGGAUAACUACUGGAAACGGUAGCUAAUACCGCAUAACGUCGCAAGACCAAAGAGGGGGACCUUAGGGCCUCUUGCCAUCGGAUGUGCCCAGAUGGGAUUAGCUAGUAGGUGGGGUAAUGGCUCACCUAGGCGACGAUCCCUAGCUGGUCUGAGAGGAUGACCAGCCACACUGGAACUGAGACACGGUCCAGACUCCUACGGGAGGCAGCAGUGGGGAAUAUUGCACAAUGGGCGCAAGCCUGAUGCAGCCAUGCCGCGUGUAUGAAGAAGGCCUUCGGGUUGUAAAGUACUUUCAGCGGGGAGGAAGGGAGUAAAGUUAAUACCUUUGCUCAUUGACGUUACCCGCAGAAGA
rnacentral:rRNA from 1 species